CAAAAUGGCUGGCUUACACAGGGACAAGCGUCUGGGGAAAAACGGCAGCUCAAACCCUGGGCUGGAGGGCAUACAUACCCUGUAACAGGUACUGACUGAGGGAUGCUGGGAGAACCUGGCAGCCAGGUCCGAUUUGAUGUUAAACAGGCACCUCAGCCGCUUAUCCCCGGGUAUGAGACUUAACACACUGUGCAAAAGAAGUUGGGCAGAGGUAGGAGCAUUUUGUGUGACUUGCUGAGGAACUUGAACUUCAAAAGUAAAAGUGGAAAACAGGCUUCUAACCUUGUUUGGAGAAGAUAAAAAUAAAGGUAGUGAUCAUUUAAGCUGCCAAAAACAAUAUUAGUCCAUGAGUACAUUUCCAUUGACUAUUCACAGCCAUGCCUGUUAGGUCUCAAACCCAGGACAAACUGUUAACCGAGGUGCUUAUUACCAUAUCAAAGCUGAUGCUGGCCAACAGGUUUUCCCAGCAUUCCCAGUCCCUUCCCAUUACAGGGUCCUCCUAGCUGGCAUAGCCAGCCAUAUUUCCCUGAACUCUCCUGUACAGAGGCUAGGCUGUGCUUUGCCCAGCUGCUCUUCCCUAUAUAAUCCAGGUAUUUUGGCUACUCCAGCCCUCUUUUGGUCUCCUGGCCUCUUGGCUCCUGGCUCAUCACCCCCACACACACCCCACCCCACUCCUAGCCUUCACAUGGCUUGGCUCAGUCAGCCAGUCAUGUCUACUCUAGACCCUUCUAGAUGCCUCUGCCUCUGGCUUUUUCUCCCUCAUAUCUACAAUAAACCACCUCGUCCACCAUACCUAGGAGCAGUCAUGUCCUCCUUGUCUUUUUGUUUUUUGUUUGUUUGUUUAUUUUGUCAUUCAAUUCCUAUAUGACCUGGGGAGAUGGCACAUAUGUAAGCAGCAUAUAAACUUACAAAAUGCUUCUCCCACGUUGUGAGAAGCAUGAGAUACUUGUCCUUUAUUAUAGUCAACCUGACUAGAUCUGGACUCUUCGGUCUGUGAGGGCAUUUCAAGGAAGGAUUAACUAAAAGGAGAAGACCUAACCCUCAUCCAGAGUGUGCAGUACCUUCCCAAGACUGAAGAUCAAGUGCUUGACAGAAAUCCUCCAGCCCUUCACCAUCAGAAUGGAAAUGCUGAAGCAUCCAGCCCUGUGGACUAUGCAGCUACAAGAUUCUCAACCUCUCUGAUGUUCAAAAAAAAAACCCAGCUAUUGGACUUCCCAGCUCCUAUCAUACAAACUCGUGUAAUCUCCUUUGUUAAAUGUAUAUUCCUUCAAUUCAUUCUGUUCUCCUCAAGAACCUUGACUAAUACAGAGCACACACUCUAUUAUGAAUUGUACUGAACAUUUUAUUUAUAAUCUUAUUUCACACACUUUCACAAUAUGAGGUACUAUUACCUGCUGUCCUAGUUAGGGUUAAUAUUGCUGUGAUGAAACACCAGAUCAAAAGCAACUUGUAGGGGGAAAGGUUUAUUUGGCUUACACUUCUAGGUGACAGUCCAUCACUGAGAGAAGUCAGAGCAGGAACCUGAAGACAAGAGCUGAUGCAGAAGAAAUAGAGGAGUGUUACUUGUGCUUACUCAUUUUCUUCCCCUGGCUUUGUCAGCCUGCUUUCUUAUAGAACCAGCCUUGGGUGGCCUCACCCACAAUGGGCCCUCCCACAUCAAUCACUAAUUAGGAAAAUGCCCCACGGGCUUGCCUACAGCAUUAUAUUAUGAAAGCAUUUUCUCAAUGGAGAUUCACCCCUCUCAGAUGACUAUAGCUUGUGUCAAAUUGAUACAAAAUAUAUGCAGGACAUCUAUAUUUUAGAAAUGAAAAAAACUGAGGAUCUGUUAAAUACCACAGUCGAGGCAUCAUGAUUUAAUCUCAGUACCCACCUGAAAGGAUGGAAGAACAAUGCAAG
ensembl:lncRNA